CCUACGGGUGGCAGCAGUGGGGAAUAUUGCACAAUGGGGGAAACCCUGAUGCAGCGACGCCGCGUGAGUGAAGAAGUAAUUCGUUAUGUAAAGCUCUAUCAGCAGGGAAGAAAAUGACGGUACCUGAGUAAGAAGCCCCGGCUAACUACGUGCCAGCAGCCGCGGUAAUACGUAGGGGGCAAGCGUUAUCCGGAGUUACUGGGUGGAAAGGGAGCGUAGACGGCAGUGCAAGUCUGGAGGGAAAGGCGGGGGCUCAACCCCCGGACUGCUCUGGAAACUGUACGGCUGGAGUGCAGGAGAGGUAAGUGGAAUUCCGAGUGUAGCGGUGAAAUGCGUAGAUAUUAGGAGGAACACCAGUGGCGAAGGCGGCUUACUGGACUGUAACUGACGUUGAGGCUCGAAAGCGUGGGGAGCAAACAGGAUUAGAUACCCCGGUAGUC
rnacentral:rRNA from 1 species